UGGCUCCUCUUCGGCGCCGGACUCUUUCUUUCUCGCCCACUUGGGCUACCCCUGACGCCUGCUUAGCCUCCCUCUCCCCAACACACUGACAUCCAGCCCUCGGCAGUAAAGCCGAUGACACCGGAGAAAGGACACGCACGCACAAAGCUGCUAAAGAUGUAACAAAGACGAGCAGGGGGUAGGCGGGGGGGUGGGGGUGCUGUCGGUGCGUCAGUCUGUCCGUCUCCAGGAGGGUGGGAGAACCGCUGGGCCGAGGAGUGGGGGAGUGUUGUUGUUUGCUGACAACUGAGCUGAGAGCUCUUCUCUUCGAGGUCGCGUUUCUUACUUUUUUUUUCUUUUCCUCUCCCUUUUUUUUUUUUUUCCGGAGCCUUCUCGGGCAGACAAGUGUUGUUUUUCUGUCGCUCGUUCCUGGGUGGGGUGGGGAUUACAAGACGAAAGUUGGAAACUGUAGGCAGAGCUCGGCGGUUCCAGAAAGAAAACACAUAGACACACAACGAUAACAACAAGCAAACAGCCCUCCACGGCGUGGGCUCCGGCUGGCUCGGCUCUGCUUCUUCCUCCUGUCUACUUUGCUUUUUCCUCUCUUCUCGCUGCAAGGCUGGGCUCAGGCCAUCGCGUCCACGGAGACAGUCCCCCUGAGCCUCUGCUGCCCUAGGUGCCCCUGCCCCCGACCCCCCCACCCCCCUCAAAGAAACAGGCCGGCAAAACCAAGCACUGCCACCAGCUCGCCCGGGACCCGCGGUGCUGCGCCCGGGAAACUUGGCGAGGGGGACUCAGCGAGAAGGAAACUUUGGGAUCUCGCAGGAAACAAUAGUUGUGGAAGAAGGUGUGGGCUGUUAUGUGCUGUUUCUUUAUUUUCCGGGAUACGGUUCCCGAGCGAGCGCGCUGGGCGAGGAAGGCAGAUGCCUUCCUGGUGGCUUUCUACUGCUCCCCCAACCCCCACCCCCACCCCAGAUUCAGGUGGAGAGAGAUGGUUGCGGGCGGCGGGGGGUGCUGGGAGCCCCACCCCGGCCUGGCCUCCUUUUUUGUAUUUGUUUGUUUCAUUUUUGCCUGGGUGCCCCAAUCCUCCCCAGGCCGUCGCCUCAGCGUCCUAACGGGGGCACGCGAGUGCGGCGUCUCCAGCACGGUCCUCACAAAUAAUAGCUGCGAGAAGGGGGAAGGGACUGAGGCGGACAGACCGACAGACUAGAGAAAAUCUGUCCGAGCAAGUAGGAAGAUCAAUGAGAUGAGAGAGAAAGGGGGGGGGGGGGAGAGAGAAAGGGAGAAAAAUGGUCCGAUUGCAACGUGUCAGGUCUUGCAACCUACCCCCCCCCCUCCAAACACAACAACAACCCUCAAACACAAAAACACCCUAGCUGACCGACACCCCAGGCCUUCGGGGUUAAAGUAACCCGUGAUGGCAGCGAAAUCGUGCAGUAGCUUAAGGCAAAAACAAGGAUUUGUGUUGGGAGGUCACUACUGCAAACGACAAUACUGGCCGGCUCAGGUGCACAACCUCCUCGCUUUCAUUUCAGCCAGUUCUCCUGUAAUCACUUGAUCGCAGUUUCUCCGCCUCCACCGCUUCCCCCUCCCAGCGAGAGACACAUGGUUUCCACAUGGAGACAAACUUCUUUCCUCUGACUGGACUUGACCUAGCAGCAUUGCUCAGCCAAUCGACAGCCUCAGCUUCCUCUGACGUCACGCGUUGCUGAGGCCGGAGACUAGGGGGUGGAGCCUGGAGGCAAGCCAGAAAAUCUCUGGGAGCUGUAGUGCGGCCAGCUGGUUCAAUCCCUUCUUAAAGGGACGCUCUUCACCCCGAGAAGGGUAUUGAACCUCAAUUCUCCAUUUCGGGUUCUGUGAGACAUUCUCGAAAUGCACCGAUAGGCCCUGGUCACGAGUUCACACGUUCCGCUUUUACUGUGUGUAAAGUACUUCCUUGGCAGGAGCUUGCCUUAUUUUCCAUUGUCACCAGAACUGCUUUUCAUUGCCUCGUUGAGGUUUCCGUGCUAGAAGAGCUCACCAAGUGUGUCCACAGUGCUGAGUUAUUCUCAGUAUAUAUGAUGAGUUUUCUUGGGGUGUUCAAAUUGAGUCAUUCAGCAUUGAGUGCUCUGUGCAAGGCAAGGAUUCCCUAGAAGAUGCAAGUACAUUCUCCCAAACUUCCAACUGAUGUGAAUCCCUAAGAAACUCAAAUUAAAAGCCUCCAGAAAUAUUAA